CGGCUUCAAACGGUCCGGCGGGAGCGAUGGCGGCGGAGGCUGCGGCCGGAGGAGUGUCAAGACACGGGUUUUCCUGUUUGCAAGUCCCAGAUCCUGGUGAACAUCACCUAGGUUGGAUAACCUAGCAGCUGUGCACAGAAGCUGUCUCCAGGAACCCACAGAAACCUCGGGAAUGUUUGCACCCUGCAGUGUCCCUUUUCUGUGACAGUCUGAGUGAUUUAAGGCCCCCAGGGUGACAUGGGGUCAUUGAAUUCAUCUUAGUCCAGUGGCUUCCACAAGACUGUCUGCUUCGUCAGCCUGACUGCAGGCAUCUACCUCUGACCACACUGCCACCCUGACUGGAUCUGCUCUGACCCUCACCCACAAGGGCUCCCCCACUCUGCUGCCCAUCCCAUAGAGGAGCUCCAUGCAUCCAGACAGAUCCUUCACAUGGAGGGCAACCCCCUGUUGAUCAUCCCCGCCUGUCUCUUCUGAAGAAUCUGCCCCCAUCCAGCACAGCACCCCAAGCUGGGGGACCUGUCCCCCCACACCUCAGCAGCUCUUCCAUCAAUGUCCCAGCCCUGUGACAGCAGGCGGGGAUCCAGCUCCUCCUGCCUGUGCCCCAGCCUGAGGGCAUUGGGGCACAUCUGGGCUGCAGCAGCUCAGCUGUGGCACAAGGGCCAAACUCAGACUUGUCCCAGACCUUGUGCCAAGAGCCUGGGCAUGA